GAUCCUUUAGCUCAACUGGAUAGAGCAACAGUCUUCUAAACUGUAGGGUGUAAGUUCAAAUCUUACAAGGAUCA
rnacentral:tRNA from 1 species